AGCGGUGUAGCUCAGCUAGGUAGAGCGCCGGGCUCAUAACCCGGACGUCGCGGGUUCAAAUCCCGCCACCGCAACCA
rnacentral:tRNA from 1 species